rnacentral:tRNA from 1 species
GGCCUCGUAGCUCAGUUGGUUAGAGCGUUGACUGUAAUAAAGCCUUCGCUGGUGGGGGUUCGAAUCCCACCGAAGCCG